GCUAGUUGGUGGGGUAAAGGCCCACCAAGGCAUCGAUCAGUAGCUGGUCUGAGAGGACGACCAGCCACACUGGAACUGAGACACGGUCCAGACUCCUACGGGAGGCAGCAGUGGGGAAUUUUGGACAAUGGGCGCAAGCCUGAUCCAGCAAUGCCGCGUGAGUGAAGAAGGCCUUCGGGUUGUAAAGCUCUUUUGUCAGGGAAGAAACGGUGGCGGCUAAUAUCUGCCACUAAUGACGGUACCUGAAGAAUAAGCACCGGCUAACUACGUGCCAGCAGCCGCGGUAAUACGUAGGGUGCAAGCGUCAAUCGGAAUUACUGGGCGUAAAGCGUGCGCAGGCGGUUUUGUAAGUUUGUCGUGAAAUCCCCGGGCUCAACCUGGGAAUGGCGAUGAAGACUGCAAGGCUAGAGUUUGGCAGAGGGGGGUAGAAUUCCACGUGUAACAGUGA
rnacentral:rRNA from 1 species